rnacentral:rRNA from 1 species
GGGAAGAGCCCAGCACCGAAUCCCGCGGUCGUAACCGGUCGCCGGGAAAUGUGGUGUUAGGGAGGAUCACUGUCCCGUGGUCGCGCGGCGCGUCCAAGUCCACCUUGAACGGGGCCACUUACCCAUAGAGGGUGCCAGGCCCGUAGCGACCGCCGCCGGCAACGGGGGGAUCUCUCCUCAGAGUCGGGUUGCUUGAGAGUGCAGCCCUAAGUGGGUGGUAAACUCCAUCUAAGGCUAAAUAUAACCACGAGACCGAUAGCGAACAAGUACCGUGAGGGAAAGUUGAAAAGAACUUUGAAGAGAGAGUUCAACAGUACGUGAAACCGUUCAGGGGUAAACCUGAGAAACUCGAAAGUUCGAAUGGGGAGAUUCAGCGCGUCUCGCGCGGCGCGAAUGGGGAGUGCGCGACGGCCGGCGUCCGCGCCGACCGCGCCCUCAACGUCGCAGCCGUUCGAACGUGUGCACUUCUCCCCUAGUAGAAAGUCGUGACCCGUUGGGCGUCGGUCUACGGCCCGCGGUGGAGCCCGCGCGGAGAGCCUCGGCACUCCGCCGGACCCGCGGUGUCCCGGCCGGCUCGCUCGACGGCGAGGACAGUGGUGCGGGGCCGCGUUUAUCGCGUCCGGCACGCGGCAAGCGCAAACGGUACAAUCCGGCCGUCGGACCUGGUGCCGACACCGGACCCGGUUGGCUGCUGGCUGCGUUGCUCUCGGACAGACCCCGGCUUUUACACCGGUCCACGAAGCUUUUGCAUUGGGUACUCUCAGGACCCGUCUUGAAACACGGACCAAGGAGUCUAGCAUGUGCGCGAGUCAUUGGGACGAACGAAACCUAAAGGCGAAAUGAAAGCGAAGGCCGUUUUAGGACGUGCCGAGGGAGGAUGCGGAGCGCCGAGGCGUUCCGCCGCACUCCCGGGGCGUCUCGAGCUCAUCGCGAGCUGAGGCGCACCCAGAGCGUACACGCUGGGACCCGAAAGA